AGCCUCUUUCAGCCUUGCAAUUUAAGACCUUAAAUGCCAUAUGCUCACAGCUUUCCUAUUCCCUUUUUUUAAUGUGGGGAAGGGGAGUUCCAUAAUGGGUUUUGUGGCAGUAUGGAUGUAUUUUGCACUGACGCGUUCUUGAUUAAACACAAAGCAUCACCUUUCUCAGAAUUCUUGCUCCCACACACUCCCAAGUGUUUUCCUGGGAACACUACAAAAGCACCUUGUCUUUACUCCUUUGUCAGCCUGUAAUGUAAGAUCUCUCUUAAUUUGCUGUUCUUUACUCUUUCUCUUCCACCGUAGCACUGCGUUGGCUGAAUGUUGAUCAUUGUGGUGGAUCCCUUAUUCGUGUUUAACUUACUGCUGGCUACUCUGUCAGAACUGUUUCCUGCAGGGCCUCCAGCAAUGAAAUCUAUGGUGCCAUCCAGCUGAAUAUGUGCCUCUCCUGGACUAAGAUGCGUGAGCCAAGUUGACUUCAGAUAUCCUUUCUUCAUUACCUCCUUACAGAUUUCAGCUGAGGAAUAUAAGGAUAUGCAAGUCAGUUAAACUCCUUAGGAUCAGUCUGGAGAGUAAUGAUGGGACUUCUUUUUUUCUUCAAUUUCUAAAUCAACUUAGUUUUCUAUCUCCUUGGAGUAGAUUAAAGCACAUUUUUAAGCAAUUCCCAAAUACCUGCAAUAGGUAACAAUGCAAAGAUGAGUGAAAAAGCAUAAGAAAUGAAGAAAAUAUUCAAAGUCUAAAAAUAAAAGAAUAUACAUAUUGUCCAGGUUGGCUAAGUGAUCAAGCAAAGUCACAUACUUUCAGAGAAUGCUUUUUUGCGAGCCAGUCUGAAGAAACAGACUCUAGAGAGACCUGAUGUUUGUAUUUGACUCUGUAAAUGAUGCUUCUCAAGAGAUCUCAUUCUAUCCCCUGUGACCUACUCAUGUUGAGACGGAUGCACUCCCCAAGGAAGCCAUCUUAUAAAUAUAUACUUUUUAUCACUCCCUGAUCCUUUCAGGUUCUUCUGUGCUGUUUCUGCUAAAAGAGGAUGUUGCUUUUUAAAUGCCCUUCAGUCUCCGACUUCUCAGUCUUCAUUUUCAGUAUACGCUUCCUUCUCUGAAUUUCUAGUUCAAGACUGUGUAUUGUUUGUAUAAUUCUCUGGAGAAGGUAACUCAGAUACUGCUCAGUUUUACCUUUAAAUAGGAAGACAAGUUUUUCUCAUACUUCCAUCCUAAUUUUCUCCAGUCAUGAAUGAACUACAGACAAUUUUGUCUUCCACAGUCAACCACAGAGAAACAAGAACUGAUGCUUACCAGAAAGACUGCCAUAAAGGAAAGCCAAGAAAAUACCAAAGAAACUGCAAUUGUGGAAGUGCUGACAGUGUGAUACUUAGAGCAGAGCAGACAGUUUCUCCCGGGAAGCUGUUUUCCUGCCCCCCAUGAUCAUUUCCUUCAGCAGGUGAGGAGCUCGUAUAGGUCUUCUGCUCUCCCCUCAGAUCUCUUUGAGAGCUGUUGUAGCUCUCUGCUUCUUGACCUCCGCUGAUCCUCUUCAAAGUGUUUCUCCAAGAUGUAGUUUGUCAACAGACAGAGAAAUCAAAGAAGCAAGGGUUUGCCUUGUUUCUCAUCCAGGUAAGCAAGCUCUCUUCUGAUUUAGCUGAGCAUGCAUUGCAGUGCUUAUCUGACUGCCAGUGCAUUUGUGAGUUCUGAAAAAAGUGAGUCUCAUUUUCCAUAUUGCAUCAGCAAAUGAUAAAGCACCCAAAUGCUAUGCAGACAGGAUGACCUCAGAGCGUUAGUAAGUUAGAUGAAGAGUUGACAGCAGAGGACAACUUUUAAAACAUAUGCAUUUUUAGGUACUGUUUGUUGCUCUGUGUGACACGUGGGAUGUGCAGAUCAACCCUUGUUGCCUUGGUCCCCUACAACCCAGAUCUCGUAGUCUUCCUCCACUCCAGGGAGGCCAUCUGUGGAGACCUCUUCUCAACUGUCCUACAACCAUUCAAGCAUGAGACUGGGACACGCCAAAGUUCAACUGAGCUCCAGGAAUUGCUGAGGAAAAAAAGAAGCAUAUGACCACCAGUGAAAUCCAAAGAGCCAAAGAGAAUAACUAGGCUUUUAUGCAUAAAUGCUGGAUAGAACCAAGCUCUCUCACAUGGGUAAGAAUGAUGGUUGGGCUCAAUGUUCUUGAAGUUCUUUUCCAACCCAGAUGAUUCUAGGGCUUAUGCAAUUUGUGAUGAGCCAAGCAAAGGCCUUUCUCUCAGUCAACACUGUGUAAAAUGGCUUGAGACCGUUUUCUUCCUGAGCUGGGACUCCUUAGGUGACUUAGGUGACCAAGCACUACUAAAGGGAUAGAAAGCAGCCUGCUCCAUGCCUUGACUGUUAUAGUAUAGCAAAUAUUACGUAUUUUUGUGAGAGCAAUGAAAAGUGCAUGAGUUUGCAAAAGGUUUAUCUAUGUUUUAUAGCAGAAAAAAAAAAGAGAGUAAAACUACAUUGUUUUACUCUUUCAUGCUUCCUUUCUGCUUUUAGAUCUUGUUGCCUGUGAAGUAAAGCAGGAGGUUCUUUAGUUUCUUCAAAUGUCUCAGGGAAAAUGUAGCAGUACAUUUAUGUAUUUACAAAAUGGCAUUAAGCACAUUAUAAAUUCUAUCAAUCAAACUGAAUAUUGCCAAAUGGGAUAUUAUGUUUGUUAAUGAAGCAUGUUUCCCAUUCACACUCCCUAAUCGAGCAGGAAACAGAGGCUACAGCACCUUUUCUGUAAUUCCCUGCAGCCAUAGUCUUGUUUCCCAGAACUAACUGCUCUGUGGGCAUUCCAUCUCUGAAUCACUCCAUCUUAUUUCCAGUACAAUAGGAUUUUCAGCAGUGAUAAUUAUGCUUUGAAAAUGCUAAGUGACAAGCUCAUAGCUGGUAUAAAGUGAUUCAAAUGAACCUAUGCUAGUUUCAUGUCAUAGCCACUGUGUGCAUGUAGUAGAAAAGCAAAAGCUUUAAUCCCUGUGAAUGUCUCUUUUUAAUUAGAAACUUUACUAGGGAAAAGGCAUGACUUCUUUUAUUUCUUUUCUAUUUUUUUUUAUCCUCAAGAAAAAAGAUGUUGGACAAGGAUGAUCCUUUGUAAUCAGAAAGUCCAGUUUGAUCUUACUAUAUGUAGGAAUAUUUUGGGAGUGGAUAGUCUUGCAGAUCUCAGUAGUUUUGAGAAACUAUAACUUGGAAGCAAAAUAAUGUGAAAGCAUGUAAAUUGUGUACCAGGUAAGAGAAAACCAACUUCUGAUUUGUAAAAAAAAAAAAGGACAGUAAAAACCUGAGAAUUGGCUGCACCAUUAACACAAAGGAUUUAUGUUAUGUAAAUCUAUUUCCAUGCGAGGCUUUAAAUGUUAUACUGCUCUAAACUAGCUGAAACUAAACUUAGUCCUCUAAAUUAGGUGAGGAUUGGCUUGUCCUCAGACAGCCUUGUGACAGAAGGAAUGCAUUUCCAAUCAUUAUGGUAAUCUGCUACAUAAAUUGAAAAUUAAACUUCACGCCUUUCUCUAUCCCUGAAACAAAUACAGCAAUCAUUUACCUUGUCAUUGACAUUCUAGCAGUUACAAUUUGAUUUAAAUGCUGAAUUAGCAAUA